CCUUCUCUUUCUACCCUGAACACAUCUGGCUUGUCUGUAUUUAGAAGUUGGGCAGGGUCAGGCCUGGUUGGUUCCUGGAUGGGAGACGACCAGGGGGGACUAGGGGGUGCCAAGGA
rnacentral:rRNA from 1 species